rnacentral:rRNA from 1 species
UACGUAGGGGGCAAGCGUUAUCCGGAUUUACUGGGUGUAAAGGGAGCGUAGACGGUUAUGCAAGUCUGGAGUGAAAACCCGGGGCUCAACCCCGGGACUGCUUUGGAAACUGUGUAACUAGAGUGCAGGAGAGGUAAGUGGAAUUCCUAGUGUAGCGGUGAAAUGCGUAGAUAUUAGGAGGAACACCAGUGGCGAAGGCGGCUUACUGGACUGUAACUGACGUUGAGGCUCGAAAGCGUGGGGAGCAAACAGG